UGCCCUGUCGUCUAAUGGUAGGACACCAGACUCUGGAUCUGGGUGUUGUGGUUCGAGUCCACACGGGGCAG
rnacentral:tRNA from 1 species